UUCUCUUCCCCCUUCUUCCUCUUGGAUUCUUCCUUCCCCGGCGGCACACAGCGACGCAAGCACGCAUCAACAGAGGCGGAAGGGGGGGGGGGAUUAGGGGGAAGAAAAGGGGGAAGAAAGGGAGAGAGAGACUUCCGGCCUCGAUCUCUCACACAGCGACGAGGGAGACGGACGCGAGCACAACGCGCCUGGAGAGGGAGAAAGAGAGGGAGGCAGAGAGACCACCACAGCCAAGCGCUUUCACACAUCCCCCCCCGCCUUACACACACAAACACACACACACAUCCAACGCCUGCUCUUUCUUUCCUCUCCCGCUUUCCCCCCUCGCAACCCCAAAGCAGCACACACACACAGAGAGACACACACACACACACAGAGACAGCACUUCCAGGUAUUUGCUUAGUGGCUGGGCGCCUUUAUUUCUCUCCUACCCACCCACCCUCCUUCUUUAACUCUCUCUUUCCUCCCCCCUCCCUUACACUCCCUCCUUGGCUCCUCACCGCCCUUUACAGUUUGUUUACAAGUCUCAAAGUUGCCAUUGAGCCGCUGCCAAAGACACCUCGGGAUCCUUACACCUACCAAAUAUCAAUAUUUUUCGCAUCCUUCUCCCCGUCUCCUUUGUGUCAGGGAUUGAAAGAGAGAGAGAUGUGCGACUAAAUUAAAAGACAGAGCAGGCGACUUUUAAAAGCCAAGCCCCCCCUCUCUUCCCCAACCAAAUCCAGAGACUGGUAAGUAAGUAAUUGUUAUUUUUUUUUUCAAAAAUCCCUUUCCUUUUUUUUCUUUCUUCUUCCCCUUUCUUUUCCUUCCUUUCUGCCUCUCUCUCUCUCUCUUGGACCGCUCGGGUUGUUGUGAAGUCGAUGAAUGCGAGUCUUGGGGAAUUAAAAAAAAAAAAGCGCGGCUGGAUUAAUUUAUUAAUUACUCUCCCGCCCCUCCUCCUCCUGAAUGGGAAAUGUGACCUUUGAUCUCGCCUGUCUCCAGGAGAGCAGAAAUGCCAUAUUUCACCCCACACAGCCAUGGUGGGGUUCUGAAUCGGGGAUUUUUAGCUGCUUUUGAUUAUUUCUAUUUUAUUGUAUUUUUAAAUCAAUCGCUGUGUCUUAAGGCCCUUCCACACAGCCUUAUAACCCAGAAUAUCAAGGCUCAAAAUCCCACAAUAUCUGCUUUGAACUGGGUUAUCUGAGUCCACACUGCCAUAUAUUCCAGUUCAAAGCAUUUUAUAGGAUUUUAUUCAGCUGUGUGGAAGGGGCCUCUGACACCUUUUUUGCGCUCGGGAGAUGCAUUGAUUCAACAAUAAUGACCCGCUUGGUGGACACCAUAAUUUUCUAGUUUCUGGUAGCAAUAAUAAUUUAAAAAUACCUUUUAUUUGGAAGGUGGAUAGAAAAGCUGCAAUGGGAGCAAAAAGAGCUUUUGUGGAAGGGAAACAGAGCUUUUGUGGAAGGGUAAGGCACUUUUCAGUGCUGCAGAAAUGCACACACCAAUGCAUGUUUGUGUUAGAAGUCUGUUUUUUUAAAAUUUUUAGUAAAGGAUCCAUACAUUGUGUUGUCAAAGGUUUUCAUGGCCAGAAUCACUGGGUUGCUGUGAGUUUUCCAAGCUGUAUGGCCAUGUUCCAGAAGCAUUGUCUCCUGAUGUUUCGCCUACAUUUGUGGCAGGCAUCCUCAGAGGUUGUGAGGUCUGAUGGAAACUAAGCAAGUGGGUUUUCUAUAUCUUUGAAAUGUCCAAGGGUGGGAGAAAGAACUCUUGUCUGAUCAAUGCUAAUCAAGGUGAUCAAUUGCAACAUUCGCAUUUGCCUCCAUCAGAGAGUAUUUUUUUCUCCCACCUUGGACAUUCCAUAGAUAUAUAAAACCCCACUUGCCUAGUUUCCAACAAACCUCACAACCACUGAGGAUGCCUGCCAUAGAAACAUCAGGAGAGAAUGCUUCUGGAACAUGGCCAUACAGCCCGAAAAACUCACAGCAACCCAGAUCCAUACAUUUGCGCUAUGUGAGUGGAUUUGCAUGCACUGAAUGAGGAAAACUACUCAAAUGAAGUCAUUGCUGUUGAAUGAAGUGAAAAUGUAGUUUGGAUUUUGGGGAAAGUCGCCUUAUUUUUCUCCUUGCUUUGUGUGCGUGUUGAGUCUCUUUGCCACAGAUUUCCCAACAGAGAAGCAACAUUUCCAGUUUUUUUUCUCUGAUGUGAAAUUGCAGAGGUGGCUUCAGACCUAAGGUCUUUGAGAAGUGAAAGAUGCCUGCUGCAUAUUACUAUUUUUUGUUAGAUUCAAUCCCCCAGCAUCUGGGUUAGUUUAUUCCAGUUUUUCUUCUUGAUUUAUCUCAUUACUUCAGGGCUAAAGUUCUUUUUUCUUCUUCUUUUUUUUGCUUUGUCCUGACUUUUGUAGAGGAGGGUUAGAGAGGCUGGUUGUUUUGUUUUUUUAAGCUGGUAGGUUGGGCUGGAAACGCUUCAUUAGCCUAAUUAGGACUGCAAUUAGUAUAAUUGAUUAUUUUUUCAACUAGGAAUGGUGCUUAAAGCCCUAAGGAAGGCCCCUUUGAGGUGUCUCUGGAGGUCUCGGUUUGACUUUUUACCUGCAAGUAAAACAAGGCUUUGCAGAAGGGGACUUUGGAUCUGAAAGAAGUAGAAUUGCCUUGCUUUGCAUCCAGUUUGAUUUGUGUUUUGUUUCCUGAAAAAGGGGGAAAGCAUGCCAUCUUCCAGUGUGUUAAAAAAUAAAAUAAUCUCUGUGUUGUCAAAGGCUUUCAUGGCCAGAAUCACUGGGUUGCUGUGAGUUUUCCAAGCUGUAUGGCCAUGUUCCAGAAGCAUUCUCUCCUGACAUUUUGCCCACAUCUAUGGCAGGCAUCCUCAGAGGUUGUGAGGAAUAUUGGAAACUAGGCGAGGGUGGUCUAUAUAUCUGUGGAUAAUCCACCACCGACAUCAAAAGAGCUGCAAGGCCAAGAAUAAGCCAUGAGAGUAAAGACAAAGAUCCACCCAGAGGAAAAGUGUUCUUACCAUACAUCAAGGGAACCACUGACCAUAUAGGGAAGCUGAUGAAGAUACAAAACCUACAAACUUUCUACAGACCCACUAAGAAAAUCCAACAAAUGCAAAGGACAAAGAGGGAUCCUCUCACCUCUGCAGGAGUCUACCAUACACCCAUGCAGCUGUGGACCACCAAAUGCAGCAUUGCCCAAACAUGAAUCAAAGAACAUGAAAGGCACUUCAGACUAACUCAACCAGAGAAGUCAACCAUAGUAGAGCACUUGAUGAACCAACCUGGACACAGCAUAUUAUUUGAGAACACGGAAAUGCUGGACCACUCUCACAACCACCAUGUCUGACUACACAGAAAAGCCAUUGAAAUCCACAAGCAUGUGGACAAUUCCAACCAAAAGGAGGAAACCAUGAAAAUGAACCAACUUUGGCUACCUUUAAAAAAAAAAAACCUCUAAAAUCAGGACAGUAAAUAAAGAACAACAUCGUGAAAACAGGGAAAUUCCAAACAAGAAACCAUCAAGAGCUGCUAACACCUCCCAACAAAGGAUUUCCCCAGGCAGGAAUCAGUCAGGUCUUGAAGCUGCAAGGCCUUUCAGUCCUAAUAGGGUGAUUAAUUGUGAUAUCCACACUUGUCUCCAAGAGACAAGAGUUCUUUUUCCCACCCUAGACAUUCUGCAGUGUCUUGCCUAGUUUCCAAUAUGCCUCACAAUCUCUGAGGAUGCCUGCCAUAGAUGUGGGUGUAACGUCAGGAGAGAAUGCUUCUAGAACAUGAGCAUACAGUCUGGGAAAACUCACAACAACCCAGUCUGAUAUGUAUUUUGUUUUCUGUAAAAGGGGGAAAGCAUGCCAUAUUCCAGUGUGUUACAAACUAAAAUAAUCUCUCUCCCAUGGUAUUGUGAGAAUGGCCUAUGAGAAGGAGGGGUGGGGGUGGGGAAGAGCUAAAAUCCAUUAACACUAAUAAAAGGGGACAGGCAGUUUCAUCCCACUUACAUUAAUGCAGGCUACCAUAUGCAUCUUGCAAAUCCUUAAAAGAGCCUUUAAUAUAAUGAAUAUUAGAGGUUGUGUGUGCAUGCAUGUGACUAUAUAUGUGCAGACAAGAUGCUGGGACGACCUUCAUGGCUUGUCUAUUUAGCAGCAAAGAAGGGAGAUGUUCAACGGGUGAAACUGCCUUCCCCAUGCCUUCAUGUUACUUGGGGAACUGGGGGAGAAAAGCAAAGAAAAGCAGGCCUUGGGACCCUUUAGGAUAAUGAAAGUAGGCUAAGAUCCAAACUGAUGGCCCUCAGAUGCAGGGAAAUCGCCUUUGCUCUAUACCUCCCUAUCAUUUAAUGUUGUUUGUGGGGAUUGGGGGAGAAAAGCACCCACUUCCCAAGAGAAACCUGAUCUUGGGGUGCUUUUAUGAAAAUGUAGGUGGUCUUGGGGUGCUUUUAUGAAAGUGUAGGUGGGCUAAGAUCUAAACUGUUGGCCCAGAUGCAGGGAAAUG
rnacentral:lncRNA from 1 species